ensembl:lncRNA
GCCGAGGAAGGCAGAGGGGCGGGGCCCGCGGCUGUGGAGACCGCAGGGAGGGUCCGCUGGAGCCCGGCGCCGGCCUCAUGGGGGGCGCGUCCCGCAUUUUUUUACCUACUUUGGUGCGAUUCCCGCCAGCCUCCAAUGAUUGGCCCAGCCCCGGCACGUCAGGCCCUCGGGCGAGGGGUAAAGUCUGCGCAUUUUUCCUCCUUCCCAAGGCGACUGUGGCAGCCCUGAGUUCUCUGAGUCACCGCUAAUUUCAGCUACACAGCUGUAGAGUGAAGCAAGGAAUCUUUUUCAGAUGUCUGCAUUGCAAAGUGCUUCAUGUAUAAGUUUUGCCAGUGGACCUAGAGGUGACCCUACAGCGUCUUCUCUCCUCAGUACAGAAUCCAGUCUAGGAU